CACCGGCGGCUCGAGUGGUGGCCACUUUUAUUGGGUCUAAAGCGUCCGUAGCCGGCUUGGCAAGUCCCCUGGGAAAUCUGGCGGCUUAACCGUCAGGCGUCCAGAGGAUACUGCCAGGCUUGGGACCGGGAGAGGUGAGAGGUACCUCAGGGGUAGGGGUGAAAUCUUGUGAUCCCUGAGGGACCACCAGUGGCGAAGGCGUCUAACUAGAACGGGUCCGACGGUCAGGGACGAAAGCUGGGGGCACGAACCGG
rnacentral:rRNA from 1 species